rnacentral:rRNA from 1 species
UACGUAGGGGCCAAGCGUUGUCCGGAAUCAUUGGGCGUAAAGGGCGCGUAGGCGGCUUGAUAAGUCGGGUGUUAAAUCUACAGGCUCAACCUGUAGCCGCACUCGAUACUGUCUUGCUGGAGAAUGGUAGAGGAAAGCGGAACUUUCGGUGUAGCGGUGAAAUGCGUAGAUAUCGAAAGGAACACCAGUGGCGAAGGCGGCUUUCUGGGCCAUUUCUGACGCUGAGGCGCGAAAGCCAGGGGAGC